GGAAUUUUCCGCAAUGGGCGAAAGCCUGACGGAGCAACGCCGCGUGAGGGAUGAAGGCCUCUGGGCUGUAAACCUCUUUUCUCAAGGAAGAAGAUCUGACGGUACUUGAUGAAUAAGCCACGGCUAAUUCCGUGCCAGCAGCCGCGGUAAUACGGGAGUGGCAAGCGUUAUCCGGAAUUAUUGGGCGUAAAGCGUCCGCAGGCGGUCUGUCAAGUCUGCUGUUAAAGCGUGGAGCUUAACUCCAUUUCGGCAGUGGAAACUGACAGACUAGAGUGUGGUAGGGGCAGAGGGAAUUCCCGGUGUAGCGGUGAAAUGCGUAGAUAUCGGGAAGAACACCAGUGGCGAAGGCGCUCUGCUGGGCCAUAACUGACGCUCAUGGACGAAAGCCAGGGGAGCGAAAGGGAUUAGAUACCCCUGUAGUC
rnacentral:rRNA from 1 species